UAGUUUUGCUGAAUUGUUUUUUUUUUUUCCUCUUAUUUUAUUCUUUGUUAUAAAUGACUGCUCUCUGGGAAGUGGGAGGGAUACAAGAUGUAAGUGAUGCAAAUACAAAAGAUAUCAACACAGAUUGUUUAUAAAACAAACAAACCCAACUCAGAUAUCUCCUCAUCCAAUAAGUCUUUCAUGAUCUUCCAAGUCAAUAAUAGCUGUUCCCUUCACAGUCAUCACAAGCAAUUUUCUCUUGCAUCUUUCUGCUGCAUUGAUUUUGUUCUACCUGGAUUAUACUUUUGUGAGCUCAAAGCCCAGUGCCACCCAUCAGUCCCACUUUUUAGCUCUAACACUUUGGGAAAAUCAUUGAAGUCCUCAGAAUCUGUUUUCUCAUCAAUAAAAUGGAGAUGCUAUUAUUUACCCUUGCCUCAUCCACCAUGGUUAUGGUAAGGAAAUAACCUUGUAGGCUUUACAAUGUGAGCGCUCUUUACUAGACUGCAAGUUGAACGAGGGCAAAAGCUCCCUAUUAUGAAAAUGAAAUAGGCUCUCCUCUUCACAUCAUCAUCUCUCCUCUCUCAGAAAAUCAAGUGGAUGAGUCUCUGGUCACUCAAGAAGCACCAGGACAUAGUCCCAAGCUGCUCCACUAUGGUCAGAGGAUGGAAGUGAGAGGGGAGAAGGGAAGAUAGCUUUAUUUUUGAAAGAGAACCAAUAUGGGGCUCCAAACCACCCCACUGUAACUCCCACAACAUGCUACAGAAAGGUGUGGGGCCCUCAGAAAGUGCUGGUAAAGUGCGUAUUUCCUGAUGUCAUGGGGAAGGGUUCUAGCCAUAGGACCAGAGCUCUGAAAACAUAAAGUGUUCAUGGACACAUGUGUUACUGGUGGAAACACUUGCUCUGGCAGGAGCCACAUAGAGCAGAACAAUGGCACCUUCCUAUAACCAUUUAAGAUUUACAAAGGUAGCAAAAAUGAUUUAUGAAAAUCAUCCCUGUUUUACAGAUGAGGAAGCCUGAGGAGAUAAGCCUUUGCCCAAGGUCACACAGCAGAGGAACAUCAGAACCAAGACUCAAGCCCCGCUCUCCACAUUCCAAGGCCAGAAAUCUUUCCAGGACACUGCUAUCUCUUCCAUCUUCUGUUUUUCUCUCCUGAAACUGGGAAACAGGGAAGGCAUUUGGUGCCUCCCCAGAUGGCAGGAAAGUUUCUUGAAAAGAAGAGAUGGUGUCCCCAGUCCCUGGAAUAUGGCAGGAACCUAAUAAAAGGUGACUGAUUAGUCAAGGUAACAUGGGUACUGAAAUAAUCAUGGGAUUUGCACCCAUAUCCUAUGAUGCCAGAUGCCACUUCUAUGAGAGAACUGGGGAAAGUGGCUUGACCACAUCAAUGGGGCCUUUUAUUUUUGCAUGAGCCUAAUGCCUCGUCCAAAGGGAGGAGCCAAACACAUGUUUAUUGAACUAUAUGGCAUAAUUCAAGGUUCCUUAGCUGGUUGGCAAUAGAGCCUCCUAACUUUCACUUCAGGGCUCUUUCUAAUGGAUAAUGUUGACUUCUAAGUCCUUGGUCAGCCAUUCAACAAGCAUUUUUUAAGUGCCUAUUGUGUGUCAAGAACUCAGUAGCCACAGGGGAUAUCAAGACCUUGCCCUCUAGGAACUUACAUUCUAAUAGAAAAGACAACAUCUAUAUAACUAUCUGGGGUUGCACAGAAGACACACCGGGUGGAAAUGGCUCUAGGAGCCAGAGAGACCAGGAAAAACCUGCAGAAGAUAGGAUUUAAGUGUGGCAUUGGAUCCUUCAUUAUCCAGUGCCAAUCUUCCAGCCCUCACCUAGCCAACUGUCUCCCCUGGAGUCCAAGGAGUAGCAGCACCUCAGAGUCAUGUCAGAGACAUGGCCAGGUGGAUCUCCUUCACAGACCAGCUUCCCUAUGGCUCACCCAUUUCCCAGGUGAGCACACCAGGCCUUUGGAAACUCCGCUUCUGAGAGUCAGUUAUCUCACCUUGGAUUUAUAGGAACAUAGAUUAGGAGCUAGAAGGAACGAGAGCCCAGGCCCUUCAUUUUGCAGAUGAAGAAACUCAGGCUUCCGAGAUGUUUUGUGACAUGUCCAGGGUUAUAGUUUUCAUGCUGCACUUUCUCCCUUCAUGGGACUAUUGUGAGAAAAAUGCUGCAAAGGGAUAUAGAGAGGCAAGCAGCUCCCAAGCGACGGCCAGUGCUGAUUGCGGCCAUGAACACAGCUCCAAACCUCUGGGGAAUACAGGGAUGAUUCCUGGCACAUAACCAACUCCUCCCCCAAUAGAUCUCACCUUCCUGGUACAGCCAGGCUUGCUAGGGAACCUAGAAGAACCAGGGAAAGGAACUGGAGUUCUCAGAUUGACUGACAGGGUCAGCUUUGGGCUUGUCCAGGAGCCAACAGGACCAUACACAUGCAAGAAUCAUUUUCACAUCCUACUUUCCCCCUCACAAUAGAAGCAAAUAUCCUUAUCUCUAUUUUGCAAAUAGUGUAAAUAAGGUCCAGGGCAACAAAUUGAUUUGUUCAACAUUUCAGUCACCUAAUAGAGAUUUCGGGCUUCCUAACUCAUACCUCAUUUCCAUUAGGUCAUUCCAUAAAAUACCAACCAUAUACAUCAUACCCCUUCAAACUCUAUUACUUGUCCUUUGAGAAUCUCAAAAGAGUCUUAGGUCAGACACCAAGUUAGAAACAUAUCUGGGAAUGGAAACCAAGGUUCUGCAAGAAAAAGCUCUGGUCACCUGAACACCACCCCCUCCCGGCCCUCAAACCUUCCUCUUUUCUUCAAACCCAAACAAGUCCUAGACCCUCUCUGAUCUGAAUCCAAAUAUGGGUUGAGCAAGGAAUUCUCCUUCACCCAGUCUAUCUAUCAUACUGAGUGAGGGCAAAGAAUGAAGUCAAGAUGUGCAACUAGCCUAGCUUCUCAAAUGAAAUGUUUGUUUUAAAAAAACAUAACAUUUAGCAUGGUGCCUGGCACAUAGUAGGUACUGUAUCAGUAACUAUCCCCUUCCCUUCCUUAUCACUUUCUCAAUUCAAGCAGAUAGGUGCUUUCCUCCCAUAGCCUCCCACUCCAGCAAACUACUUAUUUCUGUCAGGAGCCUCAAUAAUAAACCUGGAACUAAAGUGAGUAGCAAAGACCUGCAGACAGAGACACAUCAUGCUAAAAACUCUGGUUAUUCUACCACAAUGGGCACAGUUUGAGGGAUUCAAUGGCUACUACUAGUUACAGCUUUCAGGAAUGAGAGCCUCGGGAGGAGGAGCUAAUCCCUACCUCCCAGGAGCCAAUUCCCACCAUCUAGGAGCUUAUCAGGGACACGGAGCCCACAAGGUCUCUGUUCUGAAAAGAUCCUCAGUGGUGGUUUAAGUUUACUGGUGAGGCUGAAAGAACAGAGGACUAAGAAUCACAGGAUAAUAAAAUCCUCAAUUCAGAGCCGGAAGGGACCUUAUAGGUAAUCCAGGUUAAUCUGUCCCCGAACCCCAAACCCAUCCUCUUUUUUUCAAAGGAGGAAACCAAGAUCCCCAGAAAUUAAAGGACCUGCCCAAAACUCAUGUGGACUGUGAAAAAAUAAAUAAGUAAAGCCUGGCAUUUAAAGCCAAGUAUGUUGUACACCUCACUUAAUUAUUUUAGAAAUUUUUUUCACCUGUGAAAAGAAGAGGCUGAACUAUACAAACUCCAGAUAUCUCUCUCCCAGGUCUGAUAGUCUAUGUUCCAAAGCUUUUCUAGCUCCUAUAUUCCAUGUUCUCAGGACUCUCCUAGCUACAUUUAAGAGUCCUCCCAGCUCUAACAUCCUGCUUUCUAAGGGUCUUCUCAAUGGAUCCUUCAAGCUCUGACCUUCCAUGUUUUUAAGCACCACUCCCAGUUGUGACAUACUAAAUUCUAAAGGCCCUCCCAGCUGUGACAUUAUGCAGGACUAACAUUCUGCAUUCUACGGCUUUGCAGAUCUGACAUGUCAUGGUCUAUGGCCCGUCCCAGCUCUGACAGUCCGUGUUCCUAGACUUUUUCCACAUUUCAAAUUCUCUGUUCUAAUGUCUUUACAGUACUUACAUUCUUUGUUCUAAGGGUUCUUCUAGUAGCUGAUACUUCUUGUUCUAAGAGUCCUCUCAGUUGUGACACUAUAUUCUAAAACCUAUCCUGGCUCUGACAUUCUGGCUUUCUCGGUUAUGAUAUCCCUUGUUCUAAGAGUUCUCUCACUCUGACAUUCUAUAUGCUAACCAUUCUCCUAGCUGACAUUCCAUGUUCUAAAAGCUCUCCCAGCUCUGACAUUCUUUGACUCUAGAGAAGUAAGCAAGGCUAGGUCAGGGAAGUCUAGUUCUCUAGCCUUCUAAUUGUCACUGAGAGUUUGUUCCAUUGGAAAUCUGGAAGCUCACAAAGU